rnacentral:rRNA from 1 species
CCUACGGGAGGCAGCAGUGAGGAAUAUUGGUCAAUGGGCGAGAGCCUGAACCAGCCAAGUCGCGUGAGGGAGUACUGCCCUAUGGGUUGUAAACCUCUUUUGUCGGGGAGCAAAAGCCGGACGUGUCCGGCUGUGAGAGUACCCGAAGAAAAAGCAUCGGCUAACUCCGUGCCAGCAGCCGCGGUGAUACGGAGGAUGCGAGCGUUAUCCGGAAUUAUUGGGUUGAAGGGGUGCGCAGGCGGAUUUUUAAGUCAGCGGUAAAAUCGUGGGGCUCAACCCCAUCCAGCCGUUGAAACUGGGGAUCUAGAGGGUGCGAGAGGUAUGCGGAAUGCGUGGUGUAGCGGUGAAAUGCAUAGAUAUCACGCAGAACCCCGAUUGCGAAGGCAGCAUACCGGUGCACAACUGACGCUCAGGCACGAAAGCGUGGGUAUCGAACAGGAUUAGAUACCCGGGUAGUC